rnacentral:rRNA from 4 species
UUAAAUUGAAGAGUUUGAUCAUGGCUCAGAUUGAACGCUGGCGGCAGGCCUAACACAUGCAAGUCGAGCGGUAGCACAGAGAGCUUGCUCUCGGGUGACGAGCGGCGGACGGGUGAGUAAUGUCUGGGAAACUGCCUGAUGGAGGGGGAUAACUACUGGAAACGGUAGCUAAUACCGCAUAACGUCG